GGAAGGUGAAGGAGGAGCAAAGGCACAUCUUACAUGGUGGCAGGUAAGAGUGUGUGUGCAGGGGAACUGCCCUUUAUAAAAAUAUCUGAUCUUGUGAGGCUUAUUCACUAUCACAAGAACAGCAUGGAAAACCCACCCCCAUGAUUCAAUUACCUUCCACUGGGUCCUCCCUUCUACACAUGAGGAUUAUGGGAGCAACAAUUCAAGAUGAAAUUUGGGUGGGGACACAGCCAAACCAUAUCACCUAUUGCCAAUUAUUAAGUAACAAAUGAAUAUAUAACAACCAUAGAAAAAUGUAGAAGUUUUCCAUGUAGAAAACAUAUUCUAAUCACAGAAAAACUGUAGAAGACACUGUGAUUGGUCAAUUCAAUAUUUAUCACUACUUUCCGUUCAUUUCUAAGGACACUCCUGUGUUGGUUGGUUAGCUACAUGUCCAGCUAAAAGUCUCAAUUUUGUAGGCUUCCUUUCAUCCAGUGGUGACCUUUUGACAUAGUUCUGGCCAAUGAGAAUCUUAAUUUUCUUGGGUGAUGCUCCUAGGAAAACUGCUGUUUUCAGAUCAAAAGAAACACACUCACUUAGCAGGGGAGACAUCAUGAUCACAAAGGUGAUUUUCCCAGGGCAAAGCUUAUCCAUUGCACUCCACAUGUGCUGACCCGUCAUUUUCCCAAAUGUGAUAAACUCAACUGCAUAAUUGUGGCAGUAGGGAACUGCAUUUACACUUUCCCCUAGUUAAAUAAAUAAGAAAAUAAACAGAUCGAGCUGGACCACUAUUUUGGCCCCUUUUCCUUCUCAUGUGUCUGGAAUACAAAUGCCUAGAGGUAAAACUGCCAUUCUGUGAGCAUGAGGAUGGCGCCACACCUGACAGUCAUAGAGCAAGAAAGCAAGAGGGGCUGGUUCCCUGGGGACAGUUUGGAAUUCCAUUUUCUAUCCAUAGCUGUAUACCUCUAGUGUUCACUUAUCUGAAGGAAAAGGGGUUUGGAUAAUUCACUUUUGCAAGUUUGUGUUACUUGCAGCUUAAGAAAACCCUAAUGGGUACCAAGUCUAAAAUAUUGCAAGGGAAAAUAAAAUGCAAAGAAUCUUAGCAAACAUCAUAAAAGACACCAACAAAAAUUUGGCCAUGGGCACUUUUAAAGGGCAUAACAGUAAAGUAACUGAUACACACACACACACACACACAUGCACAGGCACACACAUGUAUAUGCAAACAUACACACAAAUAUACAUGCACAUUCUUCUUUUCCAUUGAUAUUCUACUAUCACUGGACAUUAGGAGUGCACAUAGAAAAAUGUCAGAAUAAAUUAGUAAUUUUUUCUCCUUUAUUCAUUUUUUUAAUUGAAGAGGAGAGAUAGCAUUAAAGUUUCCCCAGAAAAUUUGUAUAAAUGCCCUUAUUAGAAAGAACUAGCACCCUAGGAGUUUUCUUUACUGUCCUAUGGCUGGAGCAAAUGACUUUCUAUUUUGCCCUGUUAUUGCAAAAUUGCAAGGAUCAGUGAACAUUGAUAAUUGAAGCAUGAAAUGGAGGCCACUUUUACCUGAAUUAUAAAUUUGUGCAAUUGCUCUUGGAGAAAAUAACUUGCCCAACUGCCAACCUAACUCUGCAAUCCGAACUAGGCUAUCAGAUUUCAUGAGAAAUAAAUGAGUUGGUCUAUAUUAACAUAAUAUUUUAUGCACAUUUAAUUUUGUUAUUUUAAAUCAUCAAGAUAAAUUUAUAAAGACUAUUACAAUCUUAAGAAUCAUGCAAUAAUUUCACUGUCAGAUGAGACUAAUUUUACUCUUAUUGCAAACAAUGUAGGUCAGACAUGAAUGAUAUUUUUCCUUUUCCUUCUGUUCAUGCUCACCUCCUAUUUCUAAGAAUGGUGUGUGGAAGUCAUGGAAGUAGAACACACCGUAUCUCAGUGAGGAAUUUUGUGCCUCUUCCUGGUUCUUGGCAUGAGAGGCCCAAUUACUGUUCAUGGGAAAAAAAAAAAAAAAAAAAGACAUGCAAAAUUAAAAGCUGAAGGGGUGAAAGUAGGCAACUUAAAAAAAAAACACACAGAAAAGUCCCCACCAAGAAAAGCCAUUCAAAUACUAAUGGCUUUUGAUUUGACAUUGAAUAAUAGAGUUAUUUAAAAUAGUAGUUCAAGAUAUGAAACAAACCCACAAGAGUUGAAGACUUUUGGUAGCGCUAUGAGAAGCUGGUAUGUGAACAAUUGCAUCUGGAUGUUGCCAACCUAAGGAGGACCACCAAGGCCAUCUCUCCUCAUUCCUGUAAUCCCAGCUACUCCAGAGGCUGAGGCAGGAGAAUCGCUUGUACCCUGGAGGUGGAGGUUGCAGUGAGCCGAGGUCGUGCCAGCCUGGACAACAGAGUGAAAAACCAUCUA
rnacentral:lncRNA from 1 species